GAUGAAGAACGUAGCGAAUUGCGAUAUGUAAUGUGAAUUGCAGAAUUCAGUGAAUCAUCGAAUCUUUGAACGCACCUUGCGCCCUUUGGCUAUUCCGAAGGGCAUGCCUGUUUGAGUAUCAUGAACACCUCAACUCUCAUGGCUUGCCAUGAAGAGCUUGGACUAUGGGGGUCUUGCUGGCCUGUGGUCGGCUCCUCUCAAAUGAAUCAGCUUGCCGGUGUUUGGUGGCGUCACAGGUGUGAUAACUAUCUACGCUUGUGGUGUUUUCCACCAGGUAACCUUUAGCAAUGGAGGUUCGCUGGGGCUCAUAAAAGUCUCUCCUCGGUGAGGACAGCUCUUUUUGAACGUUUGAUCUCAAAUCAGGUAGGACUACCCGCUGAACUUAAGCAUAUCAAUAAGCGGAGGA
rnacentral:misc_RNA from 1 species